CUACCCUCCCCGCUGCACCGCAGCUGCCCAGAAUGAUUUUAUAAACAUUUUGCCAGUGGAUCAAUACCUGUAUUGAUCAACCAUUGUGAGAGUGAUCCGUCUAAAACCCAGAGCAGCCUAGAGCUCAGAGAUGGGAGGAGCGAAAGAGAGAGGCUGCAGAGAGGAUGGAGAAAGAGAGAGUCUGCAGCCACAGUGAAAAGGGAGAAGAGGUACAAGGGAAGAGAAGGGAAUCUGAGAGAGAAGCAGACGCAGAGCUGAAGGCAGGUGGGGAGGCAGAUUUCGGAAAACGCUACCAGGCCAUUGGGAUUGGGGAGAAACUAAUGGAAGAAUAUUUUCUCUUCUUUUCCUCUGGAAAGAAGAAGAACGGUCUGCACUUUUCCUUGGUGACAACAUGGGGACAAGGAAGACUUAGCACAUCCUGCUGCCAUAAAUUCUGUUGUUAACAGUAAAAUCAAAAGUGAAAUCCAGGAUCUUGUGGAAAGGAAUCAUCUGCAUCCUGGAUACAAACGUCCACAGAGGAAGAAAGAGAAACCUUUCUCAUAAAGGAAAAGUUGAAUCAACACUGACCUCAAAAGAUGAACAUGGCUGCAUGAAGAUGGCGUGACAAAUGACAGAUUAUUGCUGUUUUCAACUGGUGUGGAUGUAGCUGGCUUUGGAACAUUUUUUGACAUGUUGAAAAUUCGUUGGAUUGGAUUUAAUCUUUGCUACAUCUAAAAUUUUGUGGGAAUUCCUCCGAAUGGAUGACUUGCUGGACCGCUCAAGGCCACCAAAUACACUACAGCAAAGAAGAAGUGAAAGGGCUUCUUGGAUCUUCUCCCAUAGCUAAAAGGGAAACUAAUUUCCGUUGAUUAAUUUUAAAUGUGACUUUCUUGGACAUAACUGUGAACUUAAGGGGAGAUAAAUCCCUCAGACAAGCUGUGAUGGAAGACCUCAAUGGUCAUGAACUCACUUUGCACUUUAGCUCUGGUGUGGAAACACUGAGAGAAAAAGGCCUACACUCAACAGGUUCACUCCUGGGUGACCGAGCAGUUGGACGAAAACAAUGAAUAUGCUGUACCAAAGAGGCACCAACAAACAGCAUUGUCAAUAAAUUGUGGAAAAAAAUUAAGAAUUAUUAUGUGGUGCACAAUGCAAAUCUAAGUGUGUUGCAGUACUUAUCCUUGGCUGUGUCUCAUGUACAUAUAUUGGUAUGAUCCUCUGAUAUUUAAGUGGUAAACAAGAAAUUCAUAGAGGAUGUGGCUAACAGAGUUCAAUUCAAUUCUAAUGUUUUGUAAUUCGGAGCAAAAAGAAAAGGAAAGAUUUUCCUAUCAAUGUUUACAUAUGUAAUAUAUGAAUGCAUGUUCUCACAGUUCUUUACAUGUGAACAGACUGUACUUCUACUUAUCCAUACAAUGUGAAUGAAUGACCACACACUGUGGAAUUGGGUUGCAGCUCUUGAUUCAGAGUCAGUGCUUGGAACUGAACUGUAAGACAAAUGCAGCGCAGAUGAGGUUAAAGUACUGGCAACCAAGAGACUCAGCUGGUGUUUCAGUGGAGAGAGCAAAAUCAACAACACUGUACAAGGCUGUUUGCAACAAAGUUGUUCAAUGUACACAAUGCACACAUUAUGUGUUCAGUGCAGCAACAGAAAACAUUUUUAUUUACUAUUAUUGGCUUGUGAACUACAUUGAGUUUAUCACUUGUAUAAACCUUGCUUUUUUCUGCUCAGCUGUGAAAAUAGUUUAAAGAUAAAAACACGUGAAAAGCCUGCGGUCACAGGCCUGACAUGUACAUAAAUAUUAACAAAUGUGCUGCAGUAUCUGAUCAUCAUGGAAACCAAAUAUAAAUAAAAUUCAAAGUUGCAAAGCAAGCAAAAAAUUUGUUGAAGAUAUUGUUUUUACACUCUUAGUACACAGACAGAGAUUGUAGCUACAAUUAGCAAAGGUUGGUGUUCCAACCAAGCAGGAGGCUUCACUGGUGGGGGCCUGUUGUUAGAGUACCAAUGAAACACAAUCCUGGAAGUCCAUUUGAUCUAACAAAAUAUGUGUUUAAAGGCAUAUCAGACACCAAUGCACUGAACAACACAGAAAAGAUUUUCCGGUUCUGGAAAGUUAUCACUAUGUCAACUCUUUUGCCUCCAUUAUGAGGUACAACAGAAUACUGCACUCAUGUUGUAAUGGAAACUACCAAGAAUGUGCUCUUGCCUGUAUGUGACUGGCUGGCAGUACACCUUGUCGGAUAACACUGUGUUGCUUUGCCGCAAACGUUGGGCAACUUUUUUGCCAAACAACCUUGAGUUGUUUCAUUCCUACCAUUCUGGCUCCAUUCAAAUGAAUAAGAGGGCGAGUUUGCUUAUGCAGUGCUGACACUGACUGGUCAGUAACCUCAGUUGACUUAAAAAAAAACUGCCUCAGGCGAGAUAGAGGUCAUUAAAAACUUCAUUUCUUUACCUUUCUAUUUCACUGUCACGUAUGUUGAUGAUAGAAAGCAGCUCACUAUUUGUAAUAUCUAUUUUUUGCAGGCAGUUUGUGCCAUAAGUUGAGAUUUGGUUAAUUUCUUGUUUAUUGCCACUUAAGCAAGCAAGUUAAACAGUAAAGUUUCACACAUUGUGUUAUGUUUUAAUCAUCAUCAGCAGCAUUCAGUGUAUUUGGUUAAUACAUAAGGAUGUAUACAGAAAUCUGUGUCACUAUUUUGCACAAUAAGACAAAUAACCACAAGGGUGGCUUGAGCUGCUAAUCUUCUAAUAGCUUUCAUUCAUACUGGUGUCGUCCUAUUGUCUAUAUCUGUGUAAUUUCAAGAAGAUAAGCACUUAAGUGUUAUCACCUUACUCAGAGAUUUAAUUCAUGUACUAUCAAAGCCGCACUGGGGCACUGAAUCAUUUUCUUGUUUCCUUUCAUCGUUUUUGUUUGAUUCCCACUGUCAAAAACAAACCCUUGGAUGAGUGCCAAACAAUAAAUUAGGGUCUUCAUUAGACACAUCAAAUCUAAAUUACUAUUCAAUUAACAAGCCAGUCAACCUGAACUAAUCAACCAAUUAGGCCGUGUGUGUACACAGAAAAGCUAACAAAAGCGCACGAGUCCCCUGGGAAAGCAGUAAAACACUGCAGAAGAGUGACAGUACAAAUGAGAAGCUACUGGUUUAGGAAGCAAGGGGAGGGCGAAAACGUGGCAGAAAGUAAAUGUGACACUCAGAUCACCAUUCACUUGACAUUUGGGGAAGAGAAAAAAAAAUAAAAAACUGAAGAAGACAUACAUGAAAAGAUUCUCAAAGAAAAGAAAAAAAAUCUUGAAGAAAAGAAUCCAUUGAAAGCGUGAUCAAAUUACAUCGUUUGAUAUUUAGAAUGUUUUAAGAUUAAUGUUUCUGAUCAGUAUUUUUAAUGCUAAUGAGAUUUUCUUCAAUUAAAGGCAUGUUUUACUCUGA